UAGAGUUUGAUCAUGGCUCAGGAUGAACGCUGGCGGUAUGCCUAAUACAUGCAAGUCGUACGAAAGUUUUUAACUUUAGUGGCGGACGGGUGAGUAACGCGUGAGAAUUUACCUUUAGGAGGGGGAUAACAACUGGAAACGGUUGCUAAUACCCCAUAUGCUUUCGAGUGAAAUAGAUCUAUCUGCCUGAAGAGAAGCUCGCGUCUGAUUAGCUUGUUGGUGGGGUAACGGCCUACCAAGGCGACGAUCAGUAUCUGGUUUGAGAGGAUGAUCAGACACACUGGAACUGAGACACGGUCCAGACUCCUACGGGAGGCAGCAGUAGGGAAUUUUCCGCAAUGGGCGAAAGCCUGACGGAGCAAUACCGCGUGAGGGAAGACUGCCUAUGGGUUGUAAACCUCUUUUUUCAGGGAGGAAUUUUGACGUGUACCUGAAGAAUAAGCAUCGGCUAACUCCGUGCCAGCAGCCGCGGUAAGACGGAGGAUGCAAGUGUUAUCCGGAAUCACUGGGCGUAAAGCGUCUGUAGGUGGUUGAACAAGUCAACUGUUAAAUCUUGAAGCUCAACUUCAAAAUCGCAGUCGAAACUGUUUGACUAGAGUAUAGUAGGGGUAAAGGGAAUUUCCAGUGGAGCGGUGAAAUGCGUAGAUAUUGGAAAGAACACCGAUGGCGAAGGCACUUUACUGGGCUAUUACUGACACUCAGAGAC
rnacentral:rRNA from 1 species